rnacentral:rRNA from 1 species
GAUGAACGCUGGCGGCGUGCCUAAUACAUGCAAGUCGAGCGAACGGACGAGAAGCUUGCUUCUCUGAUGUUAGCGGCGGACGGGUGAGUAACACGUGGAUAACCUACCUAUAAGACUGGGAUAACUUCGGGAAACCGGAGCUAAUACCGGAUAAUAUUUUGAACCGCAUGGUUCAAAAGUGAACGACGGUCUUGCUGUCACUUAUAGAUGGAUCCGCGCUGCAUUAGCUAGUUGGUAAGGUAACGGCUUACCAAGGCAACGAUGCAUAGCCGACCUGAGAGGGUGAUCGGCCACACUGGAACUGAGACACGGUCCAGACUCCUACGGGAGGCAGCAGUAGGGAAUCUUCGGCAAUGGGCGAAAGCCUGACGGAGCAACGCCGCGUGAGUGAUGAAGGUCUUCGGGUCGUAAAACUCUGUUAUUAGGGAAGAACAUAUGUGGAAGUAACUGUGCACAUCUUGACGGUACCUAAUCAGAAAGCCACGGCUAACUACGUG